rnacentral:tRNA from 1 species
AACUUUUGAAGGGCCGGUAGACCACAUGCCGCUGGCCUUAGAAGCCAGUCACCU